AAGGAGUGCAGGUUUUAUUCGUUCGAUGAGAUAUCGCGAAUGAUCACGCGAUUACCGUCUAAAAGUGUGGGAAACAGCAGGCAGAGUGUAAUGGCUGCGCGAAGGUGCAUCCUUCGUUAAAGAUUAUCCUGCCUGUUAUAGUUUUAAUGUGUCUUUUUUGGAAUCGUAUUUGUGGGAAAAGAAAAUGCAAAUUGGAAUAUUUGGAUAUUCAAGAUAGAUAAUCUGCAAGUCCGAUUCCAAAGAAGAAAAGCGGCCCGACAAAGAAGAAAAAGCGAUGGUUUAUCGGUGUCAAUGAGAUGCGCGGGCCAUAGUCCUGAUCCAAGGUUGUCCAUCUGCUGCGCUAUCUAUCCGAUACACACUGUAUCCAACGCGCAAUGUGUCCACGCCUCGGCACGGGCGCAAUCGCGACUGCGCGCGCGCAACACUUUCGGUCAGCCUCGAGUGAAGAGACAUCUUUGUUUGGAUAAAGUCGUGGAAUCUAAGCGGAUGUGUGUCUCGGAAAUCUGUAACAAUACGAAGAGGAGAAAUCAGAUCUUGAACGCAACACGAGAUAAGGAAAGUUGAAUGUAAAGAAAGAAAAAAACUUAUAUAAAUCAAUUUGACGUAUUUACGGAUGUAGCAUUAACGAUGUAUUUGCCCACGUAUCGUUGCAUGCAUGUCAUUUAUUUUUGGAUGAAACAGUUAGGAAACGAAAUAACGAGAGACGAUGGCGGUUUCACCUGUUCGAACGUCUUCACACUGCUCACCUGUUGUUUUCGAUUCCGAGACCCGUCACAGGAUUAUUAAGGAUUUCGUGGACACGAGAGGGCGCAGCCAGCAAGAAGACCAAUUAAAUUUCGCCCGUCACGAAGCGAAUCCCUCGGUUAAAGAAGCUGCUUGCUUAGGGCCCCCUCGAGAAUAAUGUACCGCAUUCCAAAUGAGGAGAUUUACACAAUCGGGGCGGCGGCGGACCCUCGCCCGAAGCAACAAGUCUUUUUGCCGGAACCGUUCCAGUGAUCGUUCUUUCCUGCAUUUCUUUUUUGCCACCUGGAUUGCCACCGUCGCGGCAAUUAGGAAGUCCUGAUUUCUGAAUUACGUUCACCGGCCGUUUUUUUUUUUUUAUCGGUUAGAUCGCUGGGGUCGAAACAAUCGACCCUUCCUCGACGAUCGCAAAAUGAAGAGAGAGCAUCUAGCGGAACGUAAUAAUAAGAUUAGUAUUUAUUGGAAUAUUGUGUAGAAAUUUUAAAUUAAUCGUUGCCACGAUAUUUAGCGAUUAUCGCACUGGAAGGAUUUCGAUUAUCUUAUCUCUUUUGAUCUCUUUAAAAAUGUUGGCAAGAUGUUGUUUGCGUAUCGGCAGCCACGGCGGAACAGAUUUGAAUAUUAAAUGUUUGGAAAUAUCAGUCGCUUUAUUCUGCCUGAUAUUACAGUCAACGUAAAUUUACGUAUUAAACGUAAAGUGGAUUACGAUUAUCGGGAGCCGCGUAAGCGUUCAUUGCUUUGGAAUGUAUAUUAUAUAAAGGCGGAUUCUUAUUUAAUCGAGGCGGAGAGAAAUAGACGAGAUGUGAAUGACACGUUACUUGGAAACGCACGAUUAUUAAAAUCCUCGUGUUUUUUUAAUAUGAAAUUGAAAAAUAAUUUUGUUUCUUUUAUCGAGAAAAUUUUACCAAACGAAAAACAGUUCAGACUUGAUACAUUGAUUGAUAUCAAUAUUCCAAUAUAAUUUGAAUAUUUCAUUGAAUUUUUCUGUAUAUUUUAUUUUCUACAUUAACCUGAAACCUGAAACUUGAAACUUGAAGUUGAAUUGUGAAGUGCGUACUUACAAAGAUAAUCUUAUUGCGCGUAAAAUGUUAAAAGUCAAGCUGUUAUUGGACAAAUUAUCGAAUCAUAUCAUUUUUUUUUUUUGUCACACAUCCGUCACAUUCAGAUCUAGAUUUUUCACACUGCUAUUGUAUUAUUCUCGUAUUCUUCCGUUCGCUUCUUCGCGAAAACAACAUCCAUCAUCGUAAUCGGAUAUUCCAGCAAAAGAUUGCCUUCUCCCUAACUAUAUCGAUUAUCCAGCAGGGUCAUUCGAAAAGCGGAUACGUAAUACAUCAUCGUGGGGGGAAUUGCAGCGACUCGGCGAAAUGCAACUCGAUUCACGGUACGUGAGGGCAGGUGUUGCCGGUUUAUGGCAAUUUUGCGAACCGGGUUGCAAUUUCGAAAGGCAAAUAACCGACACAGGAUUCGGUGGGCAUGAUUGCGAUAAGUGCAUCGGUACGAAAUCCAUCGGGACGCCGAUCGAGGCCGCAUAAUCGCGUCGAUUCCGAGUACGACAUGUUUGUAACACGUUGUUUGUAACACGUUGAUACAUGAACCGGAUAGCAGAAUCGAGGGCAGAAGUGUCGAUGGAAUGGAAUAUAAUUUCCGCGUUGCGCUCGUCGUGAUUUAUCAUUCUUUCCAUGAUAACGUGAAAUUUUAGAACGUUUGUGUUAAACGAAUUAUGUGCAACGAUUCGUGAUAAGGUGAUUUGAGAUUGGGAAUAAUCAUGAUUUAGAAAGAAUAUCGAAAUGAUUUCAAGUAAAAAAAAAAAAAAAAAAAAAGA